UACGUAGGGGGCAAGCGUUGUCCGGAUUUAUUGGGCGUAAAGAGCGUGUAGGCGGCUAGGUAGGUCCGUUGUGAAAACUCGAGCUCAACCUCGAGACGCCGGUGGAAACCAUCUAGCUAGAGUCCGGAAGAGGAGAGUGGAAUUCCUGGUGUAGCGGUGGAAUGCGCAGAUAUCAGGAGGAACACCAAUAGCGAAGGCAGCUCGCUGGGACGUUACGGACACUAAGGCGCGAAAGCGUGGGGAGCGAACAGG
rnacentral:rRNA from 1 species